rnacentral:rRNA from 1 species
AUUGAACGCUGGCGGCAGGCCUAACACAUGCAAGUCGAGCGGAUGAAGGGAGCUUGCUCCUGGAUUCCGCGGCGGACGGGCGAGUAAUGCAUAGGAAUCUGCCUGGUCGAGGGGGAUAACGUCCGGACACGGGCGCUAAUACCGCACACGUCAUGAGGGAGAAAGUGGGGGAUCUUCGGACCACACGCGAUCAGAUGAGACUAGGUCGGAUUAGCUAGUUGGUGGGGUAAAGGCCUACCAAGGCGACGAUCCGUAACUGGUCUGAGAGGAUGAUCAGUCACACUGGAACUGAGACACGGUCCAGACUCCUACGGGAGGCAGCAGUGGGGAAUAUUGCACAAUGGGCGAAAGCCUGACCCAGCCAUGCCGCGUGUGUGAAGAAGGUCUUCGGAUUGUAAAGCUCUUUAAGUUGGGAGGAAGGGCAGUAAGUUAAUCCCUUGCUGUCUUGACGUUACCAACAGAGUAAGCACCGGCUAACUUCGUG